UGAGGACAGUCACCAAUUCCGCUCGGUGUAUCGCGAAUUCUUUUGAUGCCAAAACCUCACUGUCGGCAGCUUAGCAAGAAUGUUUGCUGCUUUGAAAUACAUUAAGAAGAUACUCGCGCAAUGCCGACCGAUAACAAGCCGAUAGCCCACAAGCCUUGACCUGCUUGGCACUGGUUUUUGUAUCCGGUUUGUCUUACACUAGCCUCCCCUAACAUGGAAAUAUGCCAUAAGUGAGUGCCA